AUUGAACGCUGGCGGCAGGCCUAACACAUGCAAGUCGAGCGGAUGAAGGGAGCUUGCUCCUGGAUUCAGCGGCGGACGGGUGAGUAAUGCCUAGGAAUCUGCCUGGUAGUGGGGGAUAACGUCCGGAAACGGGCGCUAAUACCGCAUACGUGCUGAGGGAGAAAGUGGGGGAUCUUCGGACCUCACGCUAUCAGAUGAGCCUAGGUCGGAUUAGCUAGUUGGUGGGGUAAAGGCCUACCAGGGCGACGAUCCGUAACUGGUCUGAGAGGAUGUUCAGGCACAGUGAAACGGAGCACCGGCCCAGACUCCUAGGGAAGGCAGCAGUGGGAAAUAUUGGCCAAUGGGGGAAAGCCUGUCCCACCCACGCCGCGUGUGUGAAGAAGGUCUUCGGAUUGUAAAGCCCUUUAAGUUGGGAGAAAGGCCAUUAAGUUAAACCCUGCCUGUUUGGCCUUACCAACAGAAUAAGCACCGGCUAACUUCGUG
rnacentral:rRNA from 1 species